CAACUACUCCCUCUGUCCCAAAUUUCUUGUCUUAGAUUUGUCUAGAUACGGAUGUAUCCUUGAUACAUCCGUAUCUAGACAAAUCUAAGACAAGAAUUUUGGGACGGAGGGAGUACUUU
rfam:Triticum aestivum genome assembly, contig: Triticum_aestivum_CS42_TGACv1_scaffold_037550_1BL